AUGUGGAGUGAAAGAAAAAAAGAGUCACGUGACCAUCAUCUUUCUUUUUUUAUUUUUUUGACUGUAGUCUCUGUUCCCCAUCCAUUAUAGAAAAGUUGAAAAAAAGAAAGAGGGGGAGAAGUGCAAUGUGGAGUGGAGGAAAAAAAGAGUCACAUGGCCAUCAUCUUCUUUUAUUUUUUUUUUGGUACUGUAGUCUCUGUUCCUCAUCCAUUAUAGAAAAGUUGAAAAAAAGAGAG
rnacentral:lncRNA from 1 species